UCGGAUUGGAGUCUGCAACCCGACUCCAUGAAGCUGGAUUCGCUAGUAAUCGCGGAUCAGCAUGCCGCGGUGAAUACGUUCCCGGGCCUUGUACACACCGCCCGUCACACCAUGGGAGCCGGUAAUACCCGAAGUCAGUAGUCCAACCACGUGAGGACGCUGCCGAAGGUAGGAUUGGCGACUGGGGUGAAGUCGUAACAAGGUAUC
rnacentral:rRNA from 1 species